rnacentral:rRNA from 1 species
AGUGAACGCUGGCGGUAUGCCUAACACAUGCAAGUCGAACGGCAGCACAGUAAGAGCUUGCUCUUACGGGUGUCGAGUGGCGGACGGUUGAGGUAUACAUCGGAUUCUACUUUUUCGGGGGGGAUAACGUAGGGAAACUUACGCUAAUACCGCAUACGUCCUACUGGUGAAAGCAGGCGAUCUUCUGACCUUUCGCUAUUGUAUGAGCCUAUGUCGGAUUAGCUAGUUGGCUGGUUAAAGGCACACCAAGGCGACGAUGCGUAUCUGGUCUGACAGGAUGAUCAGACACACUGGAACAGAGAAACGGCCGACACUCUUACAGGAGGAAGCAGUGGGGAAUCUUGGACAAUGGGGGAAAGCCUGAUACAGCAAUACCGCGUGGGUGAUGAAGGAGUUCGGGUUGUAAAGCCAUUUUGUUGGGAAAGAAAAGCAGCAGGUUAAUCCCGCGCUGUAAUGACGGUACCCAAAGAAUAAGCACCGGCUAACUUCGUG